AGUGGCCGGACGCAAUGUGUGGGCGGCGCACAGGCGUACCUGAUGGCAAGUGGGAGCAGACGGCGCACGUGAGUGGACGGGCGGCGGGAAUCUACAAGCGGGCGGCCGUGCAUGGCGGCGUGAUGUUCAGUGGCGGGAUGAAUCGGGACAGGGAGAGAAGUUUGUACUCAUGGUGGAUGGAGAGGAUAGUCAGAGAGAGAGCGAGAAAUUCAGAAAAGAGAUUUGAAAAAUAAUAUACGAAGUAGAAGUAAUAGGAAAACAUGGUAAGAAGAAAUAUAUAAAUAAGACAUCUGAAAAAAAAAUCAGACUAUAGCCCACGAAAAUAAAAAUCAGACUAUAACCCACGAAAAUAAACGCAUC
rnacentral:lncRNA from 1 species